rnacentral:lncRNA from 1 species
CCAUCAGUGUCACCUCCACAGCUCCAUUUUAAGACCACUGUUGCAAUGAGAAAGAAUGUAGCCAAGGACAGAACAAAAUGAAUUUAGCAAACACACUGCAAGACAGAGCCAAUAGGUGAGCAUUUCCAACCACCGUGUGUCAAUGAGUUAUAAAAUACAAGCAGCUCUAUAAAACAAGAACAUCCUGAGAUGAUAAAUAAAUGGUAUACUUCCUACAUCAUGUAUCAGCUUCUUUCACUCUUUUCCCUCAGCAAUGGUAUCUCGGAGCUCAGAAGGGAUUUUUGCUGUACGGGUAGAGAUGGGACGUGUCACUGUGAAGAAUUCCUUAAAUAUAUAUAUAUAAAUUUAUUUUUAAUUAUAUUUGAGGGCAUCUACUACUCAGGAAGGAACACCUGAUGUGUAUGUGACUGUUAAAAGGAACAAUGAAACUGAAGAAAUGAGAUGAAUUUAUGGAACCCAGAAUGGCAUAUGAACAAAAAGAGAAGACGAUCACUGGGCAAAAGAUCCUCCCUUUCACAAGGGGUACACUCAGAUUUCAGAAGAGCCGAGAUGGCCACAUCAUUGAUUUUGUACAGAAGAAUUACUGCAAUGAAAACUGCUGUCUUUGCAUUGGAGGCAGUGGCUGAGGGCCCCCUGUAAGCAGGGAAGCUGGCUCUUUGGCCUCUGCUUUUUGUAUGCCCAGCCCCAUUUGCCCAGCCUGCCCGCCUCUGUGAUCCCCCGCAGCACCGGCUGGAAGUCCGCCGCGCAUCAGUGAGGAGCUGCUGCAGAAGAAAGAAGAAGAAGCGGCGUGGGGACCUGGGCGGCAGGAGCGAGCAAGAAGAGGAUGCGGAAGCGUGCAGAUGCGGGGGGGAAGGAGAGAGGCUCCCUGGGCAAAGCACCUGUCCUGUUAGCGGGGCCGCAGUCGCAUUUGAGUUGAGCGCUGCCGGCGCCUUUGGCGUCCUGGUGGGCUUUGUGCUGGGCGACCUCCCUGUAAGCAGGGCUCGGGUCUUUGCUGUAGUUGGCCUUUUGCCUUGCUGCUCCUUUGGCUGCCUGGGGAGCGUGGCCCCCUGUAACGGAGGGCGAGAGCCACCUCUCCGCACCCAGACUGCUGGAUGCACGGGUGCCUCUAUGGCCGCGCUGGAGCCACCUGCUCAGCGCUGUGCUUUCCCUGCAGCCCCCAGUAUCACCCAGGAGAAGCCAGCGUGCGGUGUUUGCGCACGAAUGACAACAGCACCUCGUUAUACGCAAGGCUCUCCCCGAGAUCAGCUGUGGAGGUGCGUUAAGGCGCCCGUUUUCACGUCCGAUCGCUUCGGCACAGCCGUCAGACUCGCUACGCAAGCGCUCAGGGCGUAGCGCAAAGGUCUCCCAUCCGCACAACGGCGGGGAGAAAUAAGAGCGGGCCCCGCGCUCUCAUUCAGCCGGCAGCCCGGCGGUGGUCGCGGCCGUGCCGCACGCCCGCACCCGAG